AACGAACGCUGGCGGCAUGCCUAACACAUGCAAGUCGAACGAGACCUUCGGGUCUAGUGGCGCACGGGUGCGUAACACGUGGGAAUUUGCCUCGGGGUAUGGAAUAACUCAGGGAAACUUGAGCUAAUACCAUAUAAUGUCUUCGGACCAAAGAUUUAUCGCCCUGAGAUAAGCCCGCGUAGGAUUAGCUAGUUGGUGGGGUAAAGGCUCACCAAGGCGACGAUCCUUAGCUGGUCUGAGAGGAUGAUCAGCCACACUGGGACUGAGACACGGCCCAGACUCCUACGGGAGGCAGCAGUGGGGAAUAUUGGACAAUGGGCGAAAGCCUGAUCCAGCAAUGCCGCGUGAGUGAUGAAGGCCUUCGGGUUGUAAAGGUCUCUUUUACUUCGGGACGAGUAAUGACGGUACCGAGAGAAUAAGCCCGGCCGUAACUCCGUGCCAGCAGCCGCGGUAA
rnacentral:rRNA from 1 species